GCAUAUUCUAUGUACUGAAAGCUUUGACUUAUUUAGCUCUUAACUAAUACACUGGAAGUGCCCUCCCCUUGGCUUCAGGCACAUUCUCAUUUGGAACAUAAUGUUAUUCAUCCAGUUUUCGUAACAGAGACGCUGCAGUCCGCAUGGCAUGGCACCUACUCUCGAUCGAUCGAUCACGAUCACCCAAUUCCAAAGUCUAGACAUGUUGCACAAGCUUUGGAUCUGUCGCCACUCUCCCUCACGAUUCGAGCGGUGAUGGUGUUGUUGUUGUGCCCAUCGGCAUACAUAUCUGUGCCAUGCGAUCUAUCAAUGCACGCAAUGGGUGUUGGUGGUGAUGGUGCCCUUGUGGCAGGACUCAGUGCUUGGAUGUGGGCUACGCUCCCGUGAACCUUGCCGUUGCAUGGCUGCAAGCAACGUAGUGCUCUCCGGAAGAUAAGCGAGAAGCUGAUUUGGGUAAAGGGCGUGCUUUAGCGACGACAGCAUGGGUGCCCUCGCCGUGAUGUGCGGCUUGUCCUCAAUCGCAUCGCCACACACCUACAGAUCAAGCGCCUUCGAAAGGUUCUGCCUGACUGUGAGCUAUGAAUGUCAUCCCUCGGGUGUUUCAGUGGUGACCCAAUUCUAUUAAGCUUGAUUAUCGAACUGUGAUAGGACUGUUGUUUUCGCCUAGUGAUGUUUUUGCACUGUGUUCCUUUGGGAUGUCUCGACGAUGAGAUGGUCGUGUCAGUUUGGUGGUUCCCUCAGAGACCGUCGUGCUUUGAGUGACCCCGGUGUGUAGCAGCUGCCUGGUUGUAUUACAACCCCGCCUACGGCCCCUUGUGCUGUUUUGUAAAGGUGCUCUACCGUUGAAGAGUCUUACAGUUUCCCAGUUUAGGGUUUUUUGUUGAUGUGCAACUCAAUCUAGACUGCUGUUUGCGGUUAUUGAGUAUCAGAUCUCAGUAGGGUAUGGACAGCCAUUUGAUGAUUGCACGGUGGUUAAUUUUGAAGUGGCUAACGUGGCUAACGGUUGUGGAAUACACUUACGAAGGACUUCUUCCGAUGCGCGCUAACUAAUUCCUGCUUCAAUUUAUGGCCACAGAUUCUUUUUUUCUCCUCUUCGUUAACGAUUAGUUUUACAGCUAAAUUUAAGGGUGAGGACUAUACAAGCUAGCCUUUCAUUUGUAUAAGCUGAUCCAUGAGCUAGGUCUGAACUGCCUGGAUGACGUAAUAAUCUUUUCAUGAGUUGAGAUUUCUGAGGUCUAUGUAUGGGAAAAAUAAAACAAAAUAAAUAAAUAAAUAAAAAACAUCGUACUGAAAAUGAA